UUAAGCACUGUAUUCCUCUUGCAGAUAUUCAGAUUCCCAAGCUAGAUCAGAAUCAUGAUAUAUAAAGCAAAUAGACAGUAAGUUUCAAAAGACAGCCUCACUUCUUACAAAACUUUUUUAGAUUGUGCUAUUUCAAUGAUGCUAAAAUUAUUGGGGCUUAAGAACAUUUCCUAAUACAACAUAUUUAUGUUUCAACAGAACAUUGAUGUUAUAACACUUUAGUUACUAUGAUAAUUUUAUGUUUGUAUGUUUUAAAUAGAACGAAGAUCUUUCCUUAAACUUGGGAAGGAAAUGGAUAGAAGCAGGUCUUUCAAGGGUGAGGUGUGAGGAAUUAGAGGCAAGA
rnacentral:lncRNA from 1 species